rnacentral:rRNA from 1 species
GACGAACGCUGGCGGCGUGCUUAACACAUGCAAGUCGAACGGAAAGGCCCUGCUUUUGUGGGGUGCUCGAGUGGCGAACGGGUGAGUAACACGUGAGUAACCUGCUCUUGACUUUGGGAUAACUUCAGGAAACUGGGGCUAAUACAGGAUAGGAGCUCCUGCUGCAUGGUGGGGGUUGGAAAGUUUCGGCGGUUGGGGAUGGACUCGCGGCUUAUCAGCUUGUUGGUGGGGUAGUGGCUUACCAAGGCUUUGACGGGUAGCCGGCCUGAGAGGGUGACCGGCCACAUUGGGACUGAGGGACGGCCCAGACUCCUACGGGAGGCAGCAGUGGGGAAUAUUGCACAAUGGGCGGAAGCCGGAUGCAACAACGCCGCGUGCGGGAUGACGGCCUUCUGGUUGUAAACCGCUUUCGCCUGUGACGAAGCGUGAGUGACGGUAAUGGGUAAAGAAGCACCGGCUAACUACGUG